rnacentral:rRNA from 1 species
UAGGGAAUAUUUGGCAAUGGAGGGAACUCUGACCCAGCCAUGCCGCGUGCAGGAUGAAGGCGUUAUGCGUUGUAAACUGCUUUUAUAUAGGAAGAAAUAGUCCUUGCGAGGAAAGUUGACGGUACUAUAUGAAUAAGCACCGGCUAACUCCGUGCCAGCAGCCGCGGUAAUACGGAGGGUGCAAGCGUUGUCCGGAUUUAUUGGGUUUAAAGGGUGCGUAGGCGGUUUAUUAAGUCAGUGGUGAAAGACGGUCGCUCAACGAUUGCAGUGCCAUUGAUACUGGUAGACUUGAGUAUGAUUGAGGUAGCUGGAAUGGAUAGUGUAGCGGUGAAAUGCAUAGAUAUUAUCCAGAACACCAAUUGCGUAGGCAAGUUACUAAGUCAUAACUGACGCUGAGGCACGAAAGUGUGGGUAUCAAACAGGAUUAGAUACCCCCGUAGUCCCUGAGCGGGCUGGCAAGGCGCAU